UACGUAGGGGGCCAGCGUUGCCCGGAAUCAUUGGGCGUAAAGAGCGUGUAGGCGGUCCGGUAAGUCCGCUGUGAAAGUCGGGGGCUCAACCCUCGAAUGCCGGUGGAUACUGUCGGGCUAGAGUGCGGAAGAGGCGAGUGGAAUUCCUGGUGUAGCGGUGAAAUGCGCAGAUAUCAGGAGGAACACCUAUUGCGAAGGCAGCUCGCUGGGACGUAACUGACGCUGAGACGCGAAAGCGUGGGGAGCAAACAGG
rnacentral:rRNA from 1 species